rnacentral:rRNA from 1 species
CAGAUUCUAGUUGGUAGGGUAGUGGCUUACCAAGGAGUUAACGGGUAACGGGGAAUCAGGGUUCGAUUCCGGAGAGGGAGCCUUAGAAACAGCUACCACAUCCAAGGAAGGCAGCAGGCGCGCAAAUUACCCAAUCCAGACACUGGGAGGUAGUGACGAGAAAUACUGGGGAUGCACCAAGUGUGUAUCAUCCGGAAUGAACGUAACACAAAAAAUUCGAUGAGGAUCUACUGGAGGGCAAGUCUGGUGCCAGCAGCCGCGGUAAUUCCAGCUCCAGUAGUGUAUAUCGACAUUGUUGCGCUUAAAACGCUCGUAGUUGGAUUACAGAGUGUCGAACACGCUGUCUAUUAUGGCGGUUGUGGUAUAUUGUGUCGAGCUAGUCUAAAGACGGCUCAAAUGAUAUAUGACGCUCUUUUGUCGCAUUGGCUUUGGUUGGUAGCUUUAUUGGUGCCGACCAAACGCCGAUGGAGUGUGCCUUGAAUAAAACAUGGUGCUCAAAGCAGGCGUAAGCUCGAGUGUAAUAGCAUGGAACGAAUAAAAGAUCUACAGCCGGUUUUUCCGGUUGAUGGUUCAUUCAGUAUUGGUGGUGAACCGGGUCUCAAUGGUUAAAAGGGACAUCUGAGGGCACUAGUACUCUGUAGCGAGAGGUGGAAUUCUUAGACCCACAGACGACUAACUACUGCGAAGGCAUUUGCCAAGAAUGUUUUCAUUAAUCAAGAACGAAGGUUAGAGGAUCGAAGACGAUCAGAUACCGUCCUAGUUUUAACAGAAAACUAUGCCAGCAUAGGCUGAGGGCGACCAUCCUUACCCAGGAACGAGUCACCUUGGUCCUUAAGGGAAGCCUAGCUUUCGGGCUGCUGGGAGAAUAUUGCUGCAAGGCUGAAAUUUAAAGAAAUUGACGGAGAGGCACCACCAGGAGUGGAGCUUGCGGCUUAAUUUGACUCAACACGGGGAAACUCACCAGGUCCAGACAUUGGGAGGAUUGACAGACUGAUAGAUCUUUCAUGAUUCAGUGAUUGGUGGUGCAUGGCCGUUCUUAGUUGGUGGAGUGAUCUGUCAGGUCUAUUCCGGUAACGAGCGAGACCACGGCCUUUUCAGUUACAGCCCAACCUUUUUGGUUGGUGCUAACUAGAGGGACAGCCGGUGAAAAGCCGGAGGAAGCGUGGCAAUAACAGGUCUGUGAUGCCCUUUGAUGUCCUGGGCUGCACGCGUGCUACAAUGGCAACAGUAGAGAGAUGCUACCUCGAGAGAGGGUUGGCAAACCUGCUAAUAGUUGUCGUGAUUGGGAUUGAGCCUUGCAAUUAUUGCUCAUGAAAUAGGAAUUCCUCGUAAGCACGAGUCAUCAGCUUGUGUUGAAUACGUCUCUGCCUCUUGUACAAUCACG